rnacentral:rRNA from 1 species
AGAACGAACGCUGGCGGCAUGCCUAAUACAUGCAAGUCGAACGAACACUUCGGUGUUAGUGGCGCACGGGUGCGUAACGCGUGGGAAUCUGCCCUUGGGUUCGGAAUAACAGUUGGAAACGACUGCUAAUACCGGAUGAUGACGAAAGUCCAAAGAUUUAUCGCCAAGGGAUGAGCCCGCGUAGGAUUAGCUAGUUGGUGAGGUAAGGCUCACCAAGGCAACGAUCCUUAGCUGGUCUGAGAGGAUGAUCAGCCACACUGGGACUGAGACACGGCCCAGACUCCGUACGGGAGGCAGCA